GUAUAUCAUUAAUUGGGAAGGCUUCAGCAAGUAGAAUAGCACUCGAUCAGCAAGAGAGUAAAGAUAAUGUCAUAAUAAAAACCCUAAGUCUUCUAAAAU